rnacentral:lncRNA from 10 species
CCAGGCCAAAACCAGCAACUGAUUUGGAUACCAUCAAGACACCUGAAAUCUUGUCAUGAGCCAGAUACUGAGGAAGAGAUUUUGGGAAGAACCCAAGGACCCCCCAGUUGCAGCCAUGUCAAGACUGACAAUAAGGAAGACAUCAGUCCCAGCAAGCAACAUUCAUCGGGCACAGCCACCCAUGUGGGGCCAGAUCAAGAAGUUGACACAGAUGGCGGAAGAAAAUCUGAAGAAAGCGGAUGACCAGCUACAAUGAGUAAUCUAAUGUCUGCAGAUGUGGAUCCCGAAUCCUGCGAGAAGUAGCCCACCAUGACGAAGCUGCCUUUGCUUUUAUCGCUUUGCAAAAACAGAAAAGGGGACAUGCUGGGAACAGGCCCUAAGCCUGUCAUAAACAGGCCUUAAACUGACCAUGAACAGGAUUUCUGCACGAAUGUGACGUGCUCCUGAUGGCUAUGACGCCCACUGCUAGAAGUUGUUAGUUUACUGGAGCAGGGUAGGGAACACCUGGCCCACCCGGAGCGGAAAACUGCUCAAACCACAAACAACAGCAUGAGUGGCCUGAGCCUUAACAACAUGUUUUUGCUGCAGAUAAUCGGCCAGAGACUGUUUCUCUACUCCUCUCUAAGUAUGCUUUGUUUUUCGUAAGGAAUGCUUUUAGCUAAUCUGUAACCUAUAGAAACAAUGCUUAUCACUGGCUUGCUGUCAAUAAACAUGUGGGUCAAACUCUGUUUGUGGCUCUCAGCUCUCAAGGCUGUUUUCCCCCUGAUUCCCACUUUGCACUUUAUUUCUGUGUGUUUGUCUUCAUUCCUCUAGCACCACUGGGUUGGGGUCUCCUUGACCAAGCUGGUCUCGGCACAUAUGCAUGUAUGCCCAGGUCCUGAAAUCAGCCUUGUGGAGCCUGUGGGUAGGAAAAGUCAACCCUCUGUGCAUGUAGGCCUGGAACCUGACCAAUACUGUAUUUUCCUACCACGUUUGGUUUCAAAUGUGGAAACUGCCCAUACGGACCUACUGCAUUUGUUUUUAAAAAUCCUCUGUAAGUGGACCUGCACAGUUCAGGCCCAGAUUGUUCCAGGAUCAACCCUACAGUAGAAAUCAAGUAUCUUUUUCAUUGUCUCUUGGGAUCUGCCUUUUCACCAAUAAAAUAUGAGGGCUGUUGGGAGCAGGCCCCCCCAAAUCUGGCCAUAAACUGUCCCCAAAACUGGCCAUAAACAAAAUCUCUGCAGCACUAUAACAUGUUCAUAAUGGCCAUAACGCCCAAGUUGGAAGGUUGUGGAUUUACAGGAAUGAGGGCAAGGAACACCUGGCCUGCCCAGGGUGGAAAACCACUUAAAGGCAUUCUUAAGCCACAAACAAUAGCAUGAGUGAUCUGUGCCUUAAGAACAUGCUCCUG